rnacentral:rRNA from 1 species
CCUACGGGUGGCAGCAGUGAGGAAUAUUGGUCAAUGGGCGCGAGCCUGAACCAGCCAAGUCGCGUGAGGGAUGACGGUCCUACGGAUUGUAAACCUCUUUUGCCGGGGAGCAAGCGUGCGUUCGUGAACGCACGUCGAGAGUACCCGGAGAAAAAGCAUCGGCUAACUCCGUGCCAGCAGUCGCGGUAAUACGGAGGAUGCGAGCGUUAUCCGGAUUUAUUGGGUUUAAAGGGUGCGUAGGCGGGAUGCCAAGUCAGCGGUAAAAAUGCGGUGCUCAACGCCGUCGAGCCGUUGAAACUGGCGUUCUUGAGUGGGCGAGAAGUAUGCGGAAUGCGUGGUGUAGCGGUGAAAUGCUUAGAUAUCAGGAGGAACAUCGGUGGCGUAAGCGCUUUACUGGGCCGUAAUUGACGCUGAGGAACGAAAGCCAGGGUAGCAAAUGGGAUUAGAUACCCUAGUAGUC